CCCGCUGCGUGUCGGGUCUUCCCGCCGCCGAAAGGCGCCCUUGAAGGCGGGGGGAGGGCAGUCGUGACACCCCGACACGGUGGUGGGACUCCGGGACGUGGUUGCAAAAGGGCAGAAGAGUGGAAGAGCUCUCCGCAGGAGCAUUCAUCAUCAGCAUGAGCUUCUGAGACUGUGCAACACCAAAGGAGAGACCAUCAGGCUGCUUCAAGGGCUGGUGGUCCUGGGUGGUGGGAGGACACUGAGAGCUCCCUGAGCCAUCAGAGCAGGGCCUUCCCUAAGGCAAUCCCAGCCUUGGGCAUCAAGUACCUGCCUGGGCCUAUGGCCGCCAGAGCAAGGCUGUGGGGAGCUGGAGACCAGCCCUGUCUAGAGGUUGCUCGGGCAGGAGCUGGCAUCUGCAGAGUCCAAGUGGGAUUGUUCUGUUUAAGUAGAACCCACAGCAGAACCGACAAAGAUCGUUCUUGGUACUUUAAACAUCCUAGUGAACAUAAGAGUACUGUGAAUUUUCUUCCAGAGCCAGACAUUUUCUGUCAGUCAGCAUUCAGUCUGUGAUGACCUUUGCUCUACACUAGUUUUGUUUAUCUCCCAUUGUCCUGAGGCUAGAGACUUAAAGUUAUUUUUCUAUUAUUCAAAAUGAAGAUUUAUUUUUCUUUAAUCUGGAAGAAUUAAAACAGUAUCCGUCCUUUUUGGGUUUUGAGGUGCAAUUACACAUGCAAAAAUUCAGCAACAGCAACUAGAGACAUAUUUUAUUCCACUCUCAUGUAAUUGACAGAAGUAUAAUUACAGAAUAAUUUUCUGAAUGCUGUCUCAGAAGACCAAAAUUUCAAAAGGAUGCAAUUAUCUUGUCAAGAAAAUACCUGCACAAGUUACAGGUUUAGAUAGACUAUACAAUAUACAUGAGUAAAAUAUUACUGUUUUACGUCACUGGUGGUGCACAAAAACAACACACAGCUGGAUGACAGGCUGAGGCCCCUAAGAAAAACUUUCUCAGCCUAUUAUUUACAGCCUGUGUACAGAAUCACUUUGUUGCCAGAUAUUUUGUUGAAGCUAAAUCUGUGAUAUCCCCUCUGGAAUGAUGUUUCUUUGUAAGGAACUGCUUAGCUUGUGCCUUAAUUUUCCAGCAUCCCACUGAUUUUCACAGAACUCUGUGUACUCCUUUUGGGCUUUGAAGCUGCAAAAGAAAGUAAUGUUUUGUUGGCUUGAACCAGUCUGUCAGCAUCUCGGGACUGUAAGUUAUACAGCAUGCUUAGUACAGUUUGCUUGGAUUGGCAGAAACCAGUUGUACACAUGUCAACAUCCUGGGAUUAUUAGCAGCAACAAAAACUGGAAGAGCUAACAUAAUAAGGAACUAAAUUAGAUAUCUGGUUAAAAUAUUUUUGAGGGUUGAUGUUACUCUGUUCUGAUUCUUCCACCCAUGUAAGACAUUAUUCUGCUUUUAUUAAUCUGAAAACAUUAUGUUCUGGUAGGCAGUGAUACAAUCUUGUUUGAAUUUUUAAAAAUAAAUAUCUUCCAUCAUUUUUAUUUA